GGAGGGCAGUUUCAAGGCCGCUCAAACUCUGCUGAUUAAAAUAGACGGAUACAGACUUGAUUAUUCCACAAUGGGUACAGAUUACAAAACUGCAGAUCAAUCUUCUGUUCUUUGCGACGCGUUUUUAUAAACAUUUGACGUAUGAGUGGAAUUUGCCUUUGGCCUGUGGUGAAGUACAUAAUUUACAGAGUUUUGUGUGGGAUUUAUGUUUAUAAAUAACAUCAUGCGCUUUAUAAUUAAUGCUAAAAUGAAUGCGUUGUUUUAUUUAAACCUAUUUAAGAAACGCAGUGGUAAGUAAAUGACCAAUAGACCCAUUAAUAUUCUAUUAUCUGUUUUUAUUAUCUGCAGUAUUUGUGAUUAAUCAGAGAUAGCAAUGUUUUCAUUAUUUUCUACAAGUCUAGUUUUGACACGUUUGUUAGUUGUUUAUUAUGAUUUGUUUUAAUACCACACAUUUGUAUAUACUGUAUAUUAUGUUAAUGCAUACGUUGGCUGUUUUGGACCCACUUAAGAUUUUUCUUAAACUUCUAUCAGUGGGAACUGCUUUAUUUACUGCCACGUUUUACCAUAAAACGUUUUAACAUUUGAAUAAAAUGCAAUAGAAAACAGGCAAUUUGGACUUAAUGUUCUUAAUGUUUACUAAGGUUGCACAAUGUUUACAAUCUGUUUUAGGAAAAUAAUAUGCGUCUUGUGUUUCUGACAACAGAGAAUUGUUAUUGUAAUUUAACGAUUACGUGAUUUUUUUUAAAGGUGAUUGUUUAAUCUGAAGACAUACCAUGUAUAAAGAGAAUGUUGAUUUCCAAAAAAAAGAAAAAUUGGUGCGGUUUCAAACUACCCCCUGUCGCGCGCCGAUGAGGCGGUUGCAAGGCAUCCCCUUGCAGACAGUAUAGGAGAGCAAGCAAGAUUGUGAUGAGGCAAUGGAUAAAGCUGUGUGAAUUUCCAUUAUCAGAAGAGAACGUUUGUCUUCAACUAUUUCACUGAAUGACUUUUAGGCGUCUAAUGAAAAAAAAAACAAAAAACGUUGGCUUUGGAUUGUUUUCAUUUUCCCCCCAAGGAUCUCCGGAACAAUAAGGGCUGAUUUGCCGUGGGAAUGGUUCGUUGAAACAAGGGCUAUCAUGCAGUCUUGGGGUUCACGGCUGUCUGGGCAGGUUAUUAAUGAUCAAUGGAACGGCAAUAAAUAGCAGCUGCCUCCAGUUUUGUUCACGUUUGCAAGUGUUUGUUAAGCCAAACUCAUCUUUUGCUGCUCUUUAAUACACAGUAAGAUCGACGCCUUUGUUCUCCAUGUUCAGCAGAGAAUGGACGUUUGCCUUUGGAUUCAUAAUGUUCGUUCUUUCAACCAUUGUUCACGGUGACAAUCACUGCGUUUGUUAAGAUAACAUCACCGAACGUACUGGACAGAACGGCAGGACUUUCCUGCUGUUUAAAUACAGGCUACGUGCAACGUAAAGGAUGUGGUCUAAGAAUAAAACUACUUUGAAAUAA